rnacentral:lncRNA from 1 species
UUAAGUGGGUGAUUUCUUCCUUCUUUCCUUCGUUCCAAUAGAAUACUUAUAAAAAAAGAAAAACAAAUAAACUUACAUCCUAUUAAAAAAACAAUGGUCGCAAUGGGGUGGGGUAGUGACUCAAUAGAAGUAUCACCAUUUGGAGUUGAAUCAUGUCUUUCGUGAUUGUGAGAGUGGUUCAUCCUAUUGUUGAGUGUAGUUUGAGUGUCGGGUUUUUGUUAUCGUCUCCACAGGGAUU